CCAGCAUCUCUUCAUUCUGCGUCGGAUUCUGCUUCAUUCUACUUGUUAUAACGCUCGUUACAAUCGUCCGCGAUUAGGUGACAGACCGAUUUUUGUGUCCACGAGUUUAAUCCCCGCUCGAGAGCGAGAUUUUACGCUAUCCUGAUCGCUUUUUUCGUAUCGCAUGGCUACGAGGUAUUGGUAGAGGCGACGCUGAAAUAGUUCGAGAGGAAGAAAAACAUCUUCGCAUUGUCGUUGUCGCCGUCGUUCUCGGUCCCACGGCUCAGAAAGUGUGAAAUUUGAAAGUCGCGAUAAGAAAAAGCCACGCACCCGUGACGCAACGACUUAUCCAUUAUAUGGUCUUUUGGUGCGUGAACCCGUUGUCGCUGUUUUGUCUAUUUUAGAGCGUCGUCACGCGCCGUGACACGAAGAAUCAACGAAGCGUCGACUGUGAUUAACCAAAUUUUCAUUCCCAAUUGCACAGCACCCACUUGACACUACCGGAGAUUCUAUCGGAGAUAUUACCUAAUCACCAUUGCAAGGACGUAUUAUAAGAACGAAGAUUGGAGUUUUUCACGUAUGAAAUAAAGAUGAAGCUGAUUUUCCUGUUACUAUUGUUCGUCGGUUUUGUCUUUUCCGCAUCCUGGUUGGAUUUAUGGUUUCCCGGGCAACCCUCGUAUAACAGAGGAAGCGGUUCUUACCGGGAAUACCGUCAAGGAAGAAGUGAUGGUAAAGAACGCUGGAAGCAGAUCUGCAGGACAAUAAACGCCGAUCCUUACGCGUAUCCAGGACGCGUGCCUUAUCCUGCCGCACCGGUCUGUCCUUGGUGAAAGAAAUUCAGUCGGACUGGCCGGUCGUCCUGUCGUGCCAAAUAUAAGCGAUAAUAUGUACACACAUGAUGCGUUAAAAAUAUGAAUUUAUUAUAACAACGCUUUAAAGACAGUAUACGCCCACUGAUUAUGAGUAUUUCAGUCAAUGUGUUUUUUUUGUAUGUAUGCGCGCAUGUAUAUGUGUUCCAUGUGUGUAUGUGUGUGGAUUCAUACUUGUGUGCGAAGAUACAUACAUAAACUAAUAUACAUAAAUACUCGCGGUUACA